rnacentral:rRNA from 1 species
AAUGAACGCUGGCGGCAGGCCUAACACAUGCAAGUCGAGCGAGCGGCGGACGGGUGAGUAAGGUAUGGGGACCUGCCCGAUAGAGGGGGAUAACUAAUGGAAACGGUGGCUAAUACCGCAUACUCACGGAUGAACCCACAGGGAAUUAGCUAGUCGGGGGGGUAAAGGCUCACCAAGGCGACGAUCCCUAGCUGGUCUGAGAGGAUGAUCAGCCACACUGGGACUGAGACACGGCCCCGACUCCUACGGGAGGCAGCAGUGGGGAAUAUUGCACAAUGGGCGCAAGCCUGAUGGAGCCAUGCCGCGUGUGUGAAGAAGGCCUUAGGGUUGUAAAGUGCUUUCAGCGGAGAAGCGUUACCCAUAGAAAAAGCUACGGCUAACUCCGGGCCAGCAGCCGCGGUAAUUC